GACCUUGCAGCUUUUGUCCGUUCAGCAUCUCAUUUUCCAGUUCCUCAAUGGACUAGAAGAGAGGAGACUGAUUACUUGGAUCAGAGGGGAUACUGCUGCGAUACCAGCAGUUAUCGAGAAGGAAGGUCCACAGAUGAUGAAGUUGAACGUUGGCACUUGCUGGAACAUUUUUGUUACCAGUUCUACUGAGCACUGAAACCCACUAUCAGUUUGGAUCCAAUCCUGCCAGCACCAAAUUCACUGGAAAUCAUGCUGCCUCCUUGACUGAGCUCAGCGAGCACUGCACCACUCGGGAACCACCUGGGACCCGUCACAGCCCCUGCUGCCUCCAGAGGUUGUCUUUUUGCCCAGCCACAGGUGAAGUUAAACCACAGCGAGCGGCUCU